ACUAGAAUGAUAUAAAAACGUUAGGUUUGGUCAAAAAUUAGAUGUUUACAGAAUGCCCCUCUUUGCUUGGAAAUAUGGAGAAUUUUCAAGCAAAGAAGUAAACAUGACUAAUUUUUGGCCCAACCAUUUAUUCAACAGUAAUACGUAAAUAAGUAGGAAAGAGGUGUGACCGAGUCUUGACUUUGGACAUCCUACAUAUCUCGGAUUAUAAGAGAACCAGGUCACGUGUAGUUCAAAUUGAUAUAAGAGUGGAAGGGUGAAUUAAAGAGUCGGAUUGAGAUCCUGUCGAGUUUUCGGUUCAUGGUUCCUUUUAUUACAUAAAAAAAAAAAGUGAAACUAUAAAUGAAAAAUACAAGAUCCUAUCCAUUCUAUUGGUCUUGAUUCUCUUGCUUCAAAUCUUCCUCUUGGAUCUUCAGUUAUCGCCUCACCUUCUUCUAGUGGAUACCUUGAUCAAAACUUGAUCUUGAAGUUAGGAUUUGAGACUUGAACUUGAAACUUGGAUUGAGUCAUUGACACUCUACCAAAGAACAAUUCAUUGAAUACUUUUGGAUGCUUGUUCUCCUGAUCAGAAGCUAAAAAGAUGUCUCUUGAGAUAUUGAGCCGCUACAGAUGCAAAGCUGACUCUAACUAUCUUCAAAUUGAUCAUUCUUCUGCAUUCUGACUAGGGACGAGAUUUUUAUUCUCAGCGUCAAACCUGUACUUUGCAAAAAAACCUGCAAGCCAUCAAGGAAAACAAAACAGAACGAACAAAAUUUUCUGCCCCAGGUUUGCACUAGGAAAAUUUUGUGAUUUAUUAGAAAAAUUAUAAAUAAAUAAAUGAAAAUGAUAGAAAUCUAAGAUAGAUACGCAAUAAAAUAAGAACCCUAUUCUCAAUAAUACAACCAAAGGAAGUUAUGCCUUAUGAAUGCAUGAAGAAGAGUUAGGAUAUUUGUUUCUUAAAAUACAACUAGGAUUGUCAUACCCUAUGAAGACAUAAAGAAGAAAACUAGGAAGGUUUAUUUCCUAAAAUGUCAACUAGGGGAUGGCGCCCUAUAAAGACGAAAUAAAAUGUCAGUUAGGGGAUGGCACAGACGAAUAAGAAAAAUUAGGAAAUGGAGUUUCCUAAGAUAUCAACUAGGGGAUGGCACCCUAUAGAGACGAAUAAGAUGUCAACUAGGGGAUGGAUCCCUAUGAAGACAAAUAAGAUGUCAACUAGGAGAUGGCGCUCUAUGAAGACGAGAUAAUAUGUCAACUAGGGGAUGGCGCCCUAUGAAGACUAGAUAAGAUGUCAACUAAGGGAUGGGGCCCUAUGAAGACGAAUAAGAUGUCAACUAGGGGAUGGCGCCCUAUAAAGACAAAAUAAGAUGUCAAAUAGGGGACGACGCCCUAUGAAGACGAAUAAGAUGUCAACUAGGGGAUGACACCCUAUGAAGACGAAUAAGAUGUCAACUAGGGGAUGGCGCCCUAUGAAGACGAAUAAGAUGUCAGCUAGGGGAUGGCGCCCUAUGAAGAGGAAUAAGAUGUCAGCUAGGGGAUGGCACCCUAUGAAGACGAAUAAGAUAUCAGCUAAGGGAUGGCGCCCUAUGAAGAUGAGAUAAGAUGUCAGCUAGGGGAUGGCGCCCUAUGAAGAUGAGAUAAGAUGUCAGCUAGGGGAUGGCGCCCUAUGAAGAUGAGAUAAGAUGUCAACUAGGGGAUGACGCCCUAUGAAGACGAGAUAAGAUGUUAACUAGGGGAUGGCACCCUAUGAAGACGAAAGAAAAUGUCAACUAGGGGAUGGAGCCCUAUGAAGACGAAUAAGAUGUCAACUAGGGGAUGACUCCCUAUGAAGACAAAUAAGAUGUCAACUAAGAGAUGGCGCCCUAUGAAGACAAAUAAGAUGUCAACUAGGGGUUGGCACCCUAUGAAGACGAUAUAAGAUGUCAACUAGGGGAUGACGCCCUAUGAAGACAAAAAGAUAUCAACUAGGGAAUGGUACCCUAUGAGGACGAAGAAGAUGUCAACUAGGGGAUGGUACCCUAUGAGGACAAAAAGAUGUCAACUAGGGGAUGGUACCCUAUGAGGACAAAGAGAAUUAAGGAGUUUUGUUCCCUAAAGAGUACUCAGGAGAUGUUUUACCUGUUGAGGGAAGUGAGAUUUUUUAUUUUUUAUUGUUUAUUUUUUUAUUUUUAUAAAAAAAUAUGCCUCAGUUUUGGAUGCGAGGAACUUUAAAAUUCUUUUUGAAUUUUUUUAAUAAAAAAAAAUACCCCAGUAGUAUACCUUUUAGGAAUGUAAAAAAAAAAAAUUAUUCAGUGAAACCGAACCCUAUUGUAGGAUUGCCUACGUAUCUUGCGUAGAAAGAAUCAGGUCUAACGUAGUUCACAAGAACAUAAUAUUUUUUAUUUCAUUUUUUUUAAAGUAUGUGCUUUGUUAAUAUCUGGAGAAUGAAAGAAUGAAAUUAAUUCAUUUCUUGACUUCAAUUGGUACCAACAAUUAGCAUUAUGGUCGAAUAAUCUCUAAUUACUUUCAAGCAAAAAUCAAGAUCAACUUAGAAGUGAUCCCUAUAGUUUCAAAUAGUACCUCGAAUAUACUUAAUUUUCAAUAAGAUCUUUUUAUCUUGCCUCAAUCAAGUGUUUAAAAUCCUUCUUAUCCUCAAGUUUCAAAUGCCCUUACCACAACUAAAGUCCUAAUUUACUCGUAAUAAAAGAGUUCAGAUUUGAGGACAUUCAAGAAUCACUCACACUCAGAAAGAUAUUCAACGCAUCAAUGAGAUACCAUAAGCUUAACAAUCAUGUAAGUAUUCACUAAUGUGAGAACACUCAAAAUGGAAUCAUGUAGGACUUGUCAUUGGUUGAUAUUGUAGGCUUAGGGACAGGUAGGAUGAUAUUUGGGAGUUAAGUAACUAAUUCCUCAAUAAGCACUGCACUGUUUCCGUGCUUUUACUAUUUGUUGCGGAUUGACGUUCGAUCUUCUUUGUUGUUCUUUUUUUCCCCUUGUUUUGUAUUUGUUUAGACUUUGUUUGAACCUUGUGCUAGAGCUUUUCCCCUUUUAUUUUUGAUAAAUGUAUUUUCUUAAUCUUUUUUUUUAUAAUGAUGAGAAUUCUCCAUCUUUGUUGGAGUUUUUUUAUCAUCUUUUUUUAAUGGGGUUUUGCUCUUUCUUCUUUUAAGUCAUCUUUUGUUUUUGUUCUCCUGAGCUAUACGUUCUUUGUCACUGGCGCCUUUGAUCUUGAAUCUUCAUUUGCAAGUUGUACUUAUUUAGUGCGCUCAAUGAAGUAGGACAAAAGAGGGAUAGUGCAUAUAAGCACUCGAAAGGUAUAGGCUCAGAUUUGGUUAUCCAAAGAAAAGGUUUUAGGCUCAAAAGGAGAAGUGCUAGGGAUUAAUGUCAUUUAGUGGGUUGUGGAAUGCACAAUCAAAUCAAAUAAGGCCUACGAUCCUUUCCCAAACCAAGUAUAUCUCAAAAUUUUGCCUCAACAGACAUUCAAGCCAAGUUCUAGAUCAACAGAGCGAUGCCUUUGAAUUUUCAAUCUAAAGCUCACCACUCAAUGCACAUGAAACAGUGAGGUAAGAUUUAUUUUAAACUUGAAUUAGAACAAGAAAACUUUGCAAGUGAACUUUAGUAUAAUUAGAGGCAUCAAAAGAAUUUGUAGUUCACAAUCAAGUUGGUCCACUCUAUCGUAUCUCAUAAUACACUUAAUUUUUUUUCAAUUCAUAUUUUCAAGUAUGUUGGUAUCAAUUAUUAGGUCAAGAUUUAUUUUUUUUAGAUGAGACCGAAUUCAAAAGAAGAGUUGCCUCCGUAUCUUGUUGAAAUAAGAAUCAGGUCAAACGUAGUUCAGGAAGCUUAAAAUAUGAAGCAAAAACUUUUUUUUUCUUUUUGAAUAGGGAGGAAAACUUUUUUUUUUAUCUUUUCUAUUUUUGAACACUUUUUUUUUUACCUAAGGAUUUCUUUUGAAGGAGACUAACACCCUUUUUUUAUUUUUUAUUUUUUUUAAAAAAUCAAUAGCAAUUUUUUUUUCAAAUUGAAUGAAGAUCACCGAACCUAAGAAAAGUUGCCUACGUAUCUCAUUAAUAUCAAAAUCAGGUGAGCGUAGUUCGUGAAGCAGGAGACAUGAAGAAAUCCGCUUUUUAUUUGAAAAGAAAAUGAUUUUAUUGAAUUUAUUAAUAAAUAUUUUUUUAAAAUUUUUGAAAACGAAUUGAUUGAUUUUUUUUAUAAGGAUCAAAACUUUUCUUUUUUUCCUUAAGAAAAUACAACCUUUGUUUUUAAGGAUCACCGAACCCGUGGAGGGCUGCCUACGUAUCUUGCUGAGAUGAGAAUCAGGUGUGCGUAGUUCGUCCAGAUUGUGGCAAACUCAAUAAUUUAGAAAAUUAUUUUUGUUUUUUAUUGUGAAAGCAAAUCUCGCACCUCAUUUGAGUUUCGGAAAAGAAUAGGUUUUAGAGAGCAAUUUUCAACCUCUCUUACGCAAAUGAAUUCCAAAGCCGAACAACAUUCUAAACAGCCUAAUAGUUAAUGCAACUAGUGACACAAAAAAUAAAUAGUUUUAAAAUAGGGUACUUUUAGACAUUCAAAACUUUAUUGAGCCUCCACUAAGUAAAAAAUGCACGUUAUGCAAAUAAAGUGGAGCCUAAUAGGGAUAAUCAUGUCUAAGUUCCAGUUCUACUAGGUUUAACCUGGUGGAGUUAGGUAUCUAGACUGGCUGUAAAACGUGUGGAUAACUCGAGUCAGGCAGGGACAGCUUUACUGGUAGCAGGGCUUUUCAGCCUCACUGUUGGUCCCUUCCCAUCCUGAAUCAUAGGUGACUAUAGAAUCCUUUCCAGAAGCGUCGCCGCAUCUCUGGUAUCUCAAGCUCGAGAGCGUAUACCGCAUCUCCAAAAAUAUAAAGUAUCUCAGAAGACUCAGAUGGGUACGCAAGAGAAGACAGUUUAUAUUGCAGUUCAAAUAAAUUAAAGCAGUUAAACAUGUAGGCAAAUAACACAUUUACACUAACAAUAUACAAUAUCAAAAUUAAAUAAAGCCAAACAAGUCAGUAUAAAAGGUCGAAUUCUGAUUAUGUUUCCAGCAGAGUUGCCAUCUGUCACACCCCUAUUUUCUACCACAUCUAACCCCACUAGGGAAGCUGGUUUUAGAGAAAACGAGUUUUUCCCAUUAAAGUGACGUUUUGAAAAAGGAUUAUUUAUUUUACAGAGUCGUCACUUGGAAUUGAGUUUGGGUGUUCCAAGUCACCUUAUUGAAUCCCUAUUCAAAAGGAAAUGAAUCUUAAUUUUUGAUUUGCGAACUAGAAAUCUGGAUAAGGAAUUCUGUUGACCAAGGGGAAGGUGUGAGGCACCCCUCGAGUCCUGUGGUUCUAGCACGGUCGUUUUAAUGACUUACGUCUGGCUUAAAUUAAUAUUUUAGUUAUAUAAAACAUUUGUUAGUCUAAAAGUUACUUACAUCCUGCUUUAUCUAUUGAGAAUUUAUUAAAAAUUGUCUUGAUGCAUUGCUUACCGAUAGUAGUACUUUUCGGCCUUACCACGAGUUUUGGUAUACUUCUCGCGCCUUUAUGGCAUUUAUGGAUCGUUCCCACUUUCUAGUCUAAAUAAGCAUCUAAUAUAUUUAGAAUCUACCCCAACACAAAUUUAAUCGGCUUCAAAUGGUAGAUUAGUUUUAUUAUAACAAAUGAUCGGUAGCAGGGCUUUCCAACUUCAUCAUUAACUUUCACUUAUAUAUUAAACUUAAUUAUUUAGAGGAUAAGAACCGAACUCAUUCUCUUGAAAAUAUUUUUUAAUAAUAGGUUUGAAAGUAAUGCUCAUGUCCCAUUUACUCAGUUUUCAUACUAUUAAACUAAUAAACUAACUCACAUUUUAAAGCACUUAUUCAAACCGUAUCAAAGCAUGCAUAACAAUGAUUAUUUUUAACACUAAAUCAAAGAAAUAAUAAGAGAGCACGUAUAAACUUGAUCUAUCAGGUUAAUUAAAACUUACUAGUAGUUAUUAAUUUAAAAAGCCCGACAUAAACAAAAUAAUAAGCAAUAAAAGCAUGUAAACCUCCAAAACAAGGUACAGUACUGUAAUAUCAUUUGUAAUGUUUUAAAAUUCCACAUGUUUUCAUAAUUCAUAAAUUAUAAAUGUAACCUUUAUUUAGUAUACACUUACAUAUAUUGUCAGCUACGUUCUCCCAAUUUUGUUACCACUACUUUCUCCUCCUUUCUUAUUACUUUUUCUUUCUGUUUUGGUUCUUAUUACUUUUCUUCUUCUUGUUUCUAAUACACGCAUGAUGCAAGCUUUAUCAUAAAUACUUUCAAAUUACACAUUGACUGAACGUAACCUAAUCAACAUUAUUUUAAGUCUACAAACAAGUCAUAAACAAAGACGUAAAACAUGAACUACGUAAAAGUAACAAAUUUUAUACUCUACACAAUAUAAAAAAAAACUUGCAAUAAUUUCAUUAAUCUUCGAUUCACAAUAAAACUCAUAAAAUAAAUAGCUCAGGAUCAAAAUAAAAACCUGUGUGGUGAACUAAUGAAAGUAUGAAUAGGAAUAUCAGCGCCGUAAACUCGAACCAAAGACCAAGAUCAAACUCCAACCCUCGAACUUUAGGAAAGAAAAACUCUUUUUUUUUCUUAGUGUUCUUCUUGUUUUUCGUUUGUUUUCUUUUUCUGUUUCUUGC
rnacentral:lncRNA from 1 species